rnacentral:tRNA from 1 species
GCCCCGAUAGCUCAAUGGAUAGAGCGGCGCUCUCCUAAGGCGCAAAUGGAGGUUCGAUUCCUUCUCGGGGCA